rnacentral:lncRNA from 1 species
UAAUGUGGUUGAUGACGGAGAAAGAUUUGUGUCGACCGAAUCGCCAGAGAAUUUGAUGAAGAAGGUUGAGGAGUUUGCAAAGGAGGAGAGGUUGAGGGUGAAGAGAAGGAAAGAAUGGGGGUUGGAGAUGGAAGGGCAAAAUGGUAACCUGAUGAUAGCGGUCGAGGUUCACCGGUUAACCGAUACUUUGUUUGUUGUGGAGGCUAAGAGGAGUGGUGGUGAUGCUGGAUGCUUUAAGGAGACAUGGAAGAAUAAGCUUAAGCCUGUGAUUAUGGCUACUUAGUAAUUAGGAGUACUUAUUAAUCAACAAUAGAGCCAGGUUUCUGCU